GGCUCGUUAGCUCAGUUGGUUAGAGCGCCGAGCUGAACACUAUCGGUGGACGUGGGUUCGAAUCCCACACGAGCCC